rnacentral:rRNA from 1 species
UACGAAGGUCCCAAGCGUUAUCCGGAUUUAUUGGGUUUAAAGGGUGCGUAGGCGGGCUAUUAAGUCAGUGGUGAAAGCCUCAAGCUUAACUUGAGAAUUGCCAUUGAUACUGAUGACCUUGAGUACAUUUGAAGUGGGCGGAAUGUGUCAUGUAGCGGUGAAAUGCUUAGAUAUGACACAGAACACCGAUUGCGUAGGCAGCUCACUAAACAGGUAUUGACGCUGAGGCACGAAAGCGUGGGGAUCAAACAGG